rnacentral:rRNA from 1 species
GACGAACGCUGGCGGCGUGCCUAAUACAUGCAAGUAGAACGCACAGUUUAUACCGUAGCUUGCUACACCAUAGACUGUGAGUUGCGAACGGGUGAGUAACGCGUAGGUAACCUGCCUGGUAGCGGGGGAUAACUAUUGGAAACGAUAGCUAAUACCGCAUAAUAUUAAUUAUUGCAUGAUAAUUAAUUGAAAGGUGCAAUUGCACCACUACCAGAUGGACCUGCGUUGUAUUAGCUAGUAGGUGAGGUAACGGCUCACCUAGGCGACGAUACAUAGCCGACCUGCGAGGAUGAUCGGCCACACUGGGACUGAGACACGCCCCAGACUCCUACGGGAGGCAGCAGUAGGGAAUCUGCGGCAAUGGACGAAAGUCUGACCGAGCAACGCCGCGUGAGGGAAGAAGGUUUUCGGAUCGUAAAGCUCUGUUGUAAGAGAAGAACGGGUGUGAGAGUGGAAAGUUCACACUGUGACGGUAUCUUACCAGAAAGGGACGGCUAACUACGUG